AUUGAACGCUGGCGGCAGGCCUAACACAUGCAAGUCGAACGGUAACAGGAAGAAGCUUGCUUCUUUGCUGACGAGUGGCGGACGGGGGAGUAAUGUCUGGGAAACUGCCUGAUGGAGGGGGAUAACUACUGGAAAAGGUAGCUAAUACCGCAUAACGUCGCAAGACCAAAGAGGGGGACCUUCGGGCCUCUUGCCAUCGGAUGUGCCCAGAUGGGAUUAGCUAGUAGGUGGGGUAACGGCGCACCUAGGCGACGAUCCCUAGCUGGUCUGAGAGGAUGACCAGCCACACUGGAACUGAGACACGGUCCAGACUCCUACGGGAGGCAGCAGUGGGGAAUAUUGCACAAUGGGCGCAAGCCUGAUGCAGCCAUGCCGCGUGUAUGAAGAAGGCCUUCGGGUUGUAAAGUACUUUCAGCGGGGAGGAAGGGAGUAAAGUUAAUACCUUUGCUCAUUGACGUUACCCGCAGAAGAAGCACCGGCUAACUCCGUG
rnacentral:rRNA from 1 species